CUGCGAUGAUGAUCAGUUAGGACACCUUUGGAUGAAUAAUGAAAAUAACUGUGUAAUUUCUGAGCAGC